rnacentral:rRNA from 1 species
UACGGGGGGGGCAAGCGUUGUUCGGAAUUACCGGGCGUAAAGGGCUCGUAGGCGGCCCUCUCAGUCGGAUGUGAAAUCCCCAGGCUUAACCUGGGAACGGCAUCCGAUACUGGAGGGCUUGAAUUCGGGAGAGGGAUGCAGAAUUCCAGGUGUAGCGGUGAAAUGCGUAGAUAUCUGGAGGAAUACCGGUGGCGAAGGCGGCAUCCUGGACCGAGAUUGACGCUGAGGAGCGAAAGCUAGGGGAGCAAACGGG